rnacentral:rRNA from 1 species
CUCCUACGGGAGGCAGCAGUGAGGAAUAUUGGUCAAUGGACGAGAGUCUGAACCAGCCAAGUAGCGUGAAGGAUGAAGGUUCUAUGGAUUGUAAACUUCUUUUAUACGGGAAUAAACGAAUCCACGUGUGGAUUUUUGCAUGUACCGUAUGAAUAAGGAUCGGCUAACUCCGUGCCAGCAGCCGCGGUAAUACGGAGGAUCCGAGCGUUAUCCGGAUUUAUUGGGUUUAAAGGGAGCGUAGAUGGGUUGUUAAGUCAGUUGUGAAAGUUUGCGGCUCAACCGUAAAAUUGCAAUUGAUACUGGCAGUCUUGAGUACAGUUGAGGUAGGCGGAAUUCGUGGUGUAGCGGUGAAAUGCUUAGAUAUCACGAAGAACUCCGAUUGCGAAGGCAGCUUACUAACCUGUAACUGACAUUGAUGCUCGAAAGUGUGGGUAUCAAACAGGAUUAGAUACCCUGGUAGUCCACACGGUAAACGAUGAAUACUCGCUGUAGGCGAUAUACAGUCUGCGGCCAAGCGAAAGCAUUAAGUAUUCCACCUGGGGAGUACGCCGGCAACGGUGAAACUCAAAGGAAUUGACGGGGGCCCGCACAAGCGGAGGAACAUGUGGUUUAAUUCGAUGAUACGCGAGGAACCUUACCCGGGCUUAAAUUGCAACCGAAUAUGGCGGAAACGCUAUAGCUAGCAAUAGCGGUUGUGAAGGUGCUGCAUGGUUGUCGUCAGCUCGUGCCGUGAGGUGUCGGCUUAAGUGCCAUAACGAGCGCAACCCUUGCCGAUAGUUACUAACAGGUCAUGCUGAGGACUCUGUCGGGACUGCCAUCGUAAGAUGUGAGGAAGGUGGGGAUGACGUCAAAUCAGCACGGCCCUUACGUCCGGGGCUACACACGUGUUACAAUGGGGGGUACAGAGGGCUGCUACCACGCAAGUGGAUGCCAAUCCCAAAAACCUCUCUCAGUUCGGAUUGAAGUCUGCAACCCGACUUCAUGAAGCUGGAUUCGCUAGUAAUCGCGCAUCAGCCACGGCGCGGUGAAUACGUUCCCGGGCCUUGUACACACCGC